rnacentral:rRNA from 1 species
CCAACAGGGAUUGCCCCAGUAACGGCGAGUGAAGCGGCAGCAGCUCAAAUUUGAAAUCUGGGGUCCCCGACCUCCGAGUUGUAAUUUGGAGAGGCAUCUUCGGGGGGGAGCGCCGGCCCAUGUUCCUUGGGACAGGACGUCACAGAGGGUGAGAAUCCCGUGCCUGGCCGGCUGCCUCCUCCCGGGUGGAGGGCCUUCGACGAGUCGAGUUGUUUGGGAAUGCAGCUCCAAGUGGGUGGUAAAUUUCAUCUAAAGCUAAAUACCGGCGGGAGACCGAUAGCGCACAAGUAGAGUGAUCGAAAGAUGAAAAGCACUUUGAAAAUAGAGUCAAAAAGUACGUGAAAUUGUUGAAAGGGAAGCGCUUGAGACCAGACUCGGGCCUGGGCAAACAUCGCGCCCCUCGGGGCCGUGCAAUUGCCCGGGCCUGGGCCAGCAUCAGUUGGCGUGGCGGGACAAAGGCGCGGGGAAUGUGGCUCCCCUCGGGGAGUGUUAUUAGGCCCGCGCUCAAUGCCGCCGACGCCGACUGAGGACCGCGCCUCGGCUAGGAUGCUGGCUUAAUGGCCUUCAGCGACCCGUCUUGAAACACGGACCAAGGAGUCUAACAUCUAUGCGAGUGUUUGGGCGACAAACCCUUGCGCGGAAUGAAAGUGAGCGGAGGUGGGAACCCCCCCGCGGGGCGCACCAUCGACCGAUCCUGAUGUCUUCGGAUGGAUUUGAGUAGGAGC